rnacentral:rRNA from 1 species
CGGACGGGUGAGUAAUGUCUGGGAAACUGCCCGAUGAGGGGGAGUAACUACUGGAAACGGUAGCUAAUACCGCAUAACGUCGCAAGACCAAAGAGGGGACCUUCGGGCCUCUUGCCAUCGGAUGUGCCCAGAUGGGAUUAGCUAGUAGGUGGGGUAACGGCUCACCUAGGCGACGAUCCCUAGCUGGUCUGAGAGGAUGACCAGCCACACUGGAACUGAGACACGGUCCAG